AAUGAUACUUGCACCCCAAAGGGUGCCCCGCCAUGUGGAGAGGGAGAAGCGUCGCUUUGGUUGGAACAUGCCAUUGGGAGCUUUU
rnacentral:sRNA from 12 species